rnacentral:rRNA from 1 species
CCCUUAGAUGUUCUGGGCCGCACGCGCGCUACACUGACGAAUGCAACGAGCUUAUAACCUUGGCCGAAAGGUCUGGGUAAUCUCCAAAUUUCGUCGUGAUGGGGAUAGAUUAUUGCAAUUAUUAAUCUUCAACGAGGAAUGCCUAGUAAGCGCAAGUCAUCAGCUUGCGUUGAUUACGUCCCUGCCCUUUGUACACACCGCCCGUCGCUCCUACCGAUUGAAUGGUCCGGUGAAGCGUUCGGACCGUGGGCUUUGGACGGUUCGCCGUCUGUUGGCUGCGGGAAGUUCGUUAAACCUUAUCAUUUAGAGGAAGGAGAAGUCGUAACA